rnacentral:lncRNA from 1 species
CACCCCUCAGAGAUAUAGGGACCGCCAUGCUCGUCCACUUUCUUGAUAAACGACUCGAUGCAUUUUCUCUUCCUUGCCGCUGAGACUGAGACAUAUCAAAAAGAUCUAUUACUAAAAGGAGAUUGGGAUCAUCCUGUGGUUACCGGAUGAUGGGAAUAACUAAGCAGAAAUUUGGAAAUGAGCACGAAAUGUCUAUAAAUGAAUUUUCUCAUUAUUCGUUAUUUCCGGGUCUUUUCGUUGCAUUCACUUACAACAAGAAACAACCACCAGCGUUUGGUGCAGCACUUGCAUUUUGGUGCAUUCUUCUUCCUUUCCUUGGUCUUUCGUUCCGUCAUAUUCCAAAUAACUUAUCUAAUUACAACGUAUUAACCGCUAAUGCACCUUUUUUUUAUCAAAUCUCAGGGACAUGGUCUAAUCAUGAGGGUAGUAUUUUAUCAUGGUGUUGGAUCCCAAGUUUUUAUGGAUUCCUUUUUUGUUACCGGGGUCGACCCCAAAGCCAUAAUGUCUCAAAACGAAGAGGCUAUAGAGAAACUUUGAUUUUUUCCUUUGUCUCGAACUUCGUGAAGAACUCCAUUCUAUCUCUCCAACAAAAAAGUGGGGUUGCGCCCCAGUUGUACACUCCCUUCGUUCGGAGAACCCUUGUUGAUUCUGAACUUCGUUCGCAAAGUAAGCGUCCUUUUAACGGGCCAGCCCUUUUUAAUGCGCCGCUUGACCCUGUUUCGAAAAUGAGCUUUGCUCUUCUGGGCGCUGGGCGCUCCCGUGGUUCGCGAGAAGGAAAAAGGACUAAUCUUUUGUUACAUCUGGCACGAGAUGAAAAAGAGAGAGCUUCGUCUAUCGAUGAACAGCAGAUUGACGGAGCUCUUGGCAUUGCUUUGUUUUUCUCUCCUUUCCUAUCAGCGAGUUCCGAUCCUUUUGUUCGAAAUUUCUUCGUUCGUACCGAACCGCUUGCAGAAUCAAAUCCAGUUCCACAAGAUCCUAUAUCAGCUAUACAUCCUCCUUGCAUUUAUGCCGGAGAUGUCGCCAGUGCUAUGGGCUUUGGGUUAUGUAGAUCAAAAAUGAUGAAUGGGAUUGUGGCACUCCACUCGCCGCCAAUGCGGAAGGAUGCCGCCGAAAAGAAUGGAACGCUGCUUCGCUCUGCUGGAUGCGUCGGAUCCCAUAUAAGAAGCUCGCUCUUUACCCGAUCAUUCAAACAUUUUGUGGGCGGCGCGCCUGCUCUAUUGUUGCGUAGCAAUAGAAGCCUGCUCAUGCUGCUUCGGCGGCGCUUUUUCGCCUUCUCUUCGCUCUGGACAGGAGCGCUAAUGGACACGGGGAGGGAGCAGGCGAAGCGUGUCGUUCGUAAUGGAAAGAAAGACACCACUACUUCGCCUCUUUGUUGGACCGCCGGCGCGAACACAGUGGUCUCUGACCAGGACCAGGAACCAAUUCGAAUUUGGAUCUUGACAUGUCGGUUGUUUUUAACCGUAGGCAUCUCGCCAGGAAGUUGGUGGGCUCAUCAUGAAUUAGGUCGGGGUGGCUGGUGGUUUCGGGAUCCCGUAGAAAAUGCGUCUUUUAUGCCUCGGGUAUUAGCCACAGCUCGUAUUCAUUCAGUAAUUCUACCCCUUCUUCAUUCUUGGACCUCGCUUCUGAAUAUUUUGACUCUUCCAUGCUGUGUCUUAGGAACCUUUUCAAUACGGUCCGGAUUGCUAGCUCCCGUUCAUAGUUCUGCUACAGACGAUACACGAGGAAGAUUUUUAUGGCGGUUCUUCCUUCUAAUUACAGGCAUAUCUAUGACUCUUUUUUACCAGAUGAAGCAGGAGGCAUCGGUCCGUAGAACCUAUAAAAAAGAGAUGGUUGUGGCGCGAAGUACUCUUGUGCACCUACGUCACUCGGCUCGCGCGCAACCCCGCCCCGUUAUGUUAUGUUAUGGAAGAAUUUAGCUUCUUGCUGGGCUGGUUAUUCAGAGCCAGCAACUGGCUGCCGGAUUUCGUCCCGUCCGUAGCGCUUCGGAAGUCACUCUGGCGUGGCGCUGCUGGAUACUUCUGAUCAAUAGGAAUAGGAGGAAAAAAAAGCUUAUGAUGAGCAUCUAUUGGAGUCGAUCAUUUCCAAGAUCUAAUUCUAGUUUCUUAUUAUGUAGUGGAAACGCCUCACAAUCUUCAGUUUUACGCUUACGCUUAAGGGAAGAAAUGUUCUUGGUGGAUGCAGGCCCUGGUACCCCAAAAAUUUGUAUGCAAGAUGAGCUUACAGGACUGCCAAUCAAGCGAGCCACCAGGUUUGAGAAUAAGGUGGGAUCCAAGAAUGUAGUGGCUGGUGAAUCACUGAUCAAAAAGCGGAUUUUUGAGAGAUUCUUCAUCGAUCUAGUGGCCGGUGAAUCACUGAUCAAAGAGCGAGCAGCCGCCAGGUUUAAUGAUUUUGUGGGAUCCCUGGAUGUAGCGGCUGGCGAACCGCUUCUUCUUCCACAAAGAUUCAGACAAAACCGAGCUUGGAUAGAACUGAAGAAGAUUUGGCGAACGAAGAAAAAGGUCAAAGGGUUUAUUAUAAAAAAAAUCAAAGGAGGUUAUUCAGUAGCCAUCGCGGGUUUCAUUACUUUUCUUCCAUUCAAAAAAGCUCUUCUAAAAAAAAGGAUAGCGAAUGAUCGAUUCACCAUUGAUAGCAUUAACCCUAAAAGGAGGGAUAUUGUGAUAAUAGCGGCAGAUCAAACAAGAACUUGAUGAAAAGAUAGAAAAAAAUUAUGAAAAAUCCGAAGCCCACCUUAAUCCAUUUUGUUGAGGAUCUUGCACUUAUUCCGGCCCUAUAUUUACAUAGCCAAGAAAGGCUCUGGCGAUCAUGCGUGACUGGCGGAGCGCCUAUCGCCCUGGCACGGCACUCUAAAAUGCAUGUUGGGUUGGGCCAGCAAGAAGACUUCGACUAGGGAGACGAAGAAUGGAAUUGAAGAAGGCAGCAUAGUCUAAGAUAACAGAAUGGAACACCAACCAACAAGUAAGUGGUGGAUUUGGAUGGAGUCUCGCAGAAGAAGAGUACGCGCGCUAGCGCGCCCCAAGACGUCAGUCCUUUUUCUGCUUGCUGGCCAAGGUCAGUUUACUGAAUCCCCCUUCCAAACACCAACCCAAUCUCCAUUCCUUGAUGAGAAAUGAGCAAGACCAUAUGUUUAUCAAAAAUAUAGCCCCUAUAUAAACCUAGCCCUUACUACCCGAACUUCUUACCUUCAAAUAGGACUAACUGCCCGAACCCGCUUGCUUAUCUUCUACGAUCUAAUUAAGUUAAGCAGUGGUUAUUUAUUUUUUAAGUGACUAGAACUUCUAUCAACUACUAUUCUAGCACCCAGCUGUGCCAUGUGUUUAUGGGGGGGGGAUUCUAUUCUUCAGGUAUUCCUUUGAAUAACUCAUCUUUUCAGGUAAGACAAUUUGAAGAUCUUCUUAGUCAGCCUAUCUGUAUUCUUAUCCUCUAGUGCGGAUCCAAUCAGAUUUUAUAAAGCCAAGGCCUGACAUCCAUUGUGGGGAUCAUCUUUUAUCGGGAGACAUGGCCUGGUGGUUUCUGAUCGAGAUUCCUAAUCAAUAGGGCGAAGAGCUCUUCGCAUGAUCUGGUCCUACCUUUUGUCUACGCUAUUUUUUUUUUCUCUUCUCAGCUUACUCCGGAUAAAUUGGAACACAUUGAUUCCGUUCGUUCCUGCCCUUCGCUUCAGGCCAUAGUGCUUCUGAAUUAUUUCUAUACCCCUUUGAUGAUGCAGCCUCUGACUCUCGUGGGUAAACUCCUACUUGAUUAGUUAGAACUUCUCUGUCUCAACUCGUGGACCUAUCUAUCUUCUUCUUUUUAAGAGAUAGGGGUUUGCUAUUCUCACGGAUUGCUCAUAUUUAUUUACCCCAUUGAAUAGUUUUUGCCUUAUUUCAGCCCUUCCUUCAUCUGAACCUUCCAAGUACUAAUCUAUCUUUAUGGGGAAGACCCUUCAUCUGACCUCCGGGCUACCCUGUCAAUUGUAAAAAGUAGUUGAGUCGUGUCUCGCAGGAGCAAAAAGAGUGAAAUGAGGACGUAAGCCCCCUAGGUCUUCCUCUUCCUUCUAAACUAAUUGCUUUCGCUUGACUCUUCCAGUAAAAAAGUAUACUGAGUGGUUGAAGGAAAGCGAAAAGGAAUGGCUUUUUCAUGUACCAGAUCCGGUGAGCCAGACAUCAAGCAAAAAUGGACAUACAAUCAAAGAGUAAGGAGCAGUUAUUUGCAAUGACGGGUGGAUUGGUCAGAGCUGCAAGGAGAGACUCGGUUAUGGUGCGAUAAAGAGCUUGCUUCAAUGCUCGGAUUCAGGUAGAAAGUAAGAGCAGUAGCAUAUUCAUAGGAGAGCUUUGUACUUGAAAUUAGUAGUCCCGGUAGUUGGAAAAAAGCUCUGAAUACAGAUUCAAAGCAUCAAGAUAGGUAGUCCGAUCAUUAGUUGGCCAGUCAUAGCAAUUUAAGUAGAAAGCUUGCUUCGGGAUCAGAUCAUUCAACUAAAGCUGUCAGGCCGGGUAGGCUUUGAGGAACAUUGGGGGUUCCUUAUGUUGUGACUGAGCAGAUAUGUCUAUUGUGCCCGGCAAAAACAGAUUUGCAAGGAGUUUGCCAAAGGCUUUCUCAUUCGGAAAAAAACAAUUUCAAGUAUAUUUCCCUUCUCCAUUCUCUGCUCGGAUGAUUGCCGCUUGUGUGAAUUUCAUUGCUGUGGGUCCCGUGUGUGCUCGAAUAAGAUUGUUUUAGGAUUCUAUUUAGUUGAAUUUCUUGACUCCGCGGUGCUGGUUAUCGAGUUUAUGGCGCCGCCGACCAUCCAAAAAGUUAAAGAUGGCGCCGGCAUUUACUUAUUAUGCUCUCUUCUAAUAGUGGUCCCUUGGUAUUCAGGUUGUAAAAUCCUGAUAGGAAAGUCUACUGUUAUACCUUGUUUUUGUAAUGGCCUAUCUUCUUUAAAAAGCCGAAAGAUAAGGAUUUCGCAAAACUUUUGCGUUCCUUUUUCUUUUCAAAGAAAACCUUACCAUUUUUGGGCCGCUGUUACCAUUUCCAUUUCCUGAACCUAAACCUAACUAAUACUUAGUUGUUUCCAUUUCCUCAUCUGGUGAUAGAUCCUCAUCUUCUUCUGGCUCAAAUCCCUUUUUCAUAUCCAGGGCAGGCUUUAGGUACGCUUUAGUUUGAAAUCAUUAAAGAUAUGCUCGACCUCGUUUAUGUCCAUGGUAUCAUCGUACGUACCUUCUACUAUCAACCAGAUGAGAUAGGGCUUUGAAAGGUCAGAGUCAGUCUCCUCUUUUUCUUUUAGGUCGUUUAGCAGUUCCCCAACCAGCUUUCUCCCCGAGAAAGCCUUCCUGAGAUUCAAAGAAAAAGGUUUGAAGGUUGAUCUCUGGGAUCAGUGAUAGUUCGGAACCAGCAAAGGGAGGCUGAAAAGCCGUAGUGCUAACGCACGCCCUGUAGUUUUGAAGCUAAAAAGACAGCAGCGAGCUCCGCGUCGAAAAGCGAAGCGAGCCGCGCUAGCGCGCUACUCUUCCUUUAUGAGCGAGACUCUAUCCAGAUCUACUGAUCUAAGAACUCCGCGAGCGAACUGAGCGAGCCAUGAGGCGCCUAUCGGCAAGGCUUGGAAAAGCCUUAAGUUUAGGCUCCCUUCCUUCACUGAACUGAUUCACCCGGGUCCAAACCUGCUGAGCUAGCUAAUUUUUCCUUUACGAGAUCUCGGCUCUUCGGAAUGAUUGGAGAGAGCCCCGCCUCCUCUUGGUUGGUGCCGGGCCCGAGAGUGAUGGGACUACUUCCUUAAAGGAGAGCCUUUCGUUCGGGCCGGCAGGAGGGGCCCUGAUCUAUCAAUUGAGGGAGCAAAAAACAGGCUUUGCUCCCCCUUUUUUAAAUGAAGAAAGAAAGAAGGGUCGAAGUUUAGACCGCUCACAGUAGUUCUACCCAUAGAAAAGAUCAUGAAAGAGGCGAUCAGAAUGGUACCCGAAUCCAUUUACGAUCCCGAGUUUCCAGACACAUCGCACUUCCGCUCGGGUCGAGGCUGCCACUCGGCCCUCAGACGGAUCAAAGAAGAGUGGGGAACCUCUCGCUGGUUUUUGGAAUUCGACAUCAGGAAGUGUUUUCACACCAUCGACCGACAUCGAUUCAUCUCAAUCUUGAAGGAAGAGAUCGACGAUUCCAAGUUCUUUUACCCCACUCAGAAAAAGUUUUCCGCCGGACGACUCGUAGGGGGUGAGAAGGGCCCUGACUCCAUCCCAAACAGUGUACUACUAUCGGCCCUACCAGGCAAUAUCUACCUACACAAGCUCGAUCAGGAGAUAGGGAGGAUCCGGCAGAAGCACGAAAUUCCUCUUGUAGUGAAAAUAAGAUCGGUUCUAUUAAGAAUAGGUCGUCGUAUUGAUGACCAAGAAAAGUAUGGAAAAGAAGCAAGCUUCAACGCUCCCCAAGACAACAGAGCCCUCAUAGUGGGGAGGGUAAAGAGCAUCCAACGCAAAGCGACCUUUCAUUCCCUUGUUUCGUCGUGGCACACCCCCCCCCACAAGCACCCCCAGGCGAAGGGGAGACCAGAAAACGCCUUUCGUUUUCCCCCCUUCAGCGGCCCUAGCCGCCUUCCUUAACAAGCCCUCGAGCCUCCUUUGCGCCGCCUUCCUCAUAGAAGCCGCUGGGUUGACCCCGAAGGCCGAAUUCAAUGGUAGAGAAGGCUUUAAUAAGAAUUUGGCCAUGAGAGACCUUCUUAAGUAUUGCAAAAGAAGGGGCCUGCUGAUAGAGCUGGGCGGGGAGGCGAUACUAGUUAUCAGGUCAGAGAGAGGCCUGGCCCGUAAGCUGGCCCCCUUUAAAAGCCAUUCCUUAUUAAUAAGGAUUUGUUACGCGCGAUAUGCCGACGACUUACUACUGGGAAUCGUGGGUGCCGUAUUUCUUCUCAUAGAAAUACAAAAACGUAUCACCCACUUCCUACAAUCCGGCCUGAACCUUUGGGUAGGCUCCGCAGGAUCAACAACCAUAGCUGCACGGAGUACGGUAGAAUUCCCCGGUACGGUCAUUCGGGAAGUCCCCCCGAGGACGACUCCCAUACAAUUCUUGCGAGAGCUGGAGAAGCGUCUACGGGUAAAGCACCGUAUCCAUAUAACUGCCUGCCACCUACGCUCCGCCAUCCAUUCCAAGUUUAGGGACCUAGGUUAUAGUAUCCCUAUCAAAGAGCUGACGAAGGGGAUGAGCGGAAGAGGUCGUCUACUGGACGCGGUUCAACUAGCGGAGACUCUUGGAAAAGAUGGACUAAAAAGUCCCCAAGUUAGCGUAUUAUGGGGGACCGUCAAGCACAUCCGGCAAAGAUCGAGGGGGAUCUCGUUGUUGCAUAGCUCAGGUCAGAGCAAGGUGCCAUCAGGCGUUCAACAGGCAGUCUCACGAUCGGGCAUGAGUGUCCUGAAGAAGAAAUUGUAUACUCCCUUUGGUCGGAAGGCGGCGGGGGAAGGAAGGGGACACUGGGCGGGAUCUUUCAGCAGCGAAUUCCCCAUACAGAUAGAGGCGCCUAUCAAAAAGAUACUCCGAAGGCUUCGGGAUCGAGGUCUCAUUAGCCGAAGAAGA